rnacentral:rRNA from 1 species
CGGGAAUUUUGGGCAAUGGGCGAAAGCCUGACCCAGCAACGCCGCGUGGAGGAUGAAGACCUUCGGGUCGUAAACUCCUUUCGACCGAGAUGAACAGCCACUGACCUAAUACGUCGGUGGCCUGACAGUAUCGAGGGAAGAAGCCCCGGCUAACUCCGUGCCAGCAGCCGCGGUAAUACGGGGGGGGCAAGCGUUGUUCGGAAUUACUGGGCGUAAAGGGUUCGUAGGUGGCCAACUAAGUCAUACGUGAAAUCCCUCAGCUUAACUGGGGAACUGCGUCUGAUACUGGUUGGCUUGAGUGCAGGAGAGGAACGCGGAAUUCCAGGUGUAGCGGUGAAAUGCGUAGAUAUCUGGAGGAACACCGGUGGCGAAGGCGGCGUUCUGGACUGCAACUGACACUGAGGAACGAAAGCCAGGGGAGCAAA